rnacentral:rRNA from 1 species
CCUACGGGUGGCAGCAGUGAGGAAUAUUGGUCAAUGGGCGCGAGCCUGAACCAGCCAAGUCGCGUGAGGGAGGACUGCCCUACGGGUUGUAAACCUCUUUUGCCGGGGAGCAACGGGCGUCACGUGUAGCGCCACUGAGAGUACCCGGAGAAAAAGCAUCGGCUAACUCCGUGCCAGCAGCCGCGGUAAUACGGAGGAUGCGAGCGUUAUCCGGAUUUAUUGGGUUUAAAGGGUGCGUAGGCGGAUCGGUAAGUCAGUGGUAAAAUUGAGGGGCUCAACCCCUUCCCGCCAUUGAAACUGGCGCUCUUGAGUGGAAGAGAAGUAUGCGGAAUGCGUGGUGUAGCGGUGAAAUGCAUAGAUAUCACGCAGAACCCCGAUUGCGAAGGCAGCAUGCCGGCUUCCGACUGACGCUGAAGCACGAAAGCGUGGGGAUCGAACAGGAUUAGAUACCCUAGUAGUC